CCUACGGGUGGCAGCAGUGGGGAAUAUUGGACAAUGGGGGCAACCCUGAUCCAGCCAUGCCGCGUGUGUGAAGAAGGCCCUCGGGUUGUAAAGCACUUUCAGUGAGGAAGAACGCCUGGUGGUUAAUACCCAUCAGGAAAGACAUCACUCACAGAAGAAGCACCGGCUAACUCCGUGCCAGCAGCCGCGGUAAUACGGAGGGUGCGAGCGUUAAUCGGAAUUACUGGGCGUAAAGCGCGCGUAGGUGGCUUGAUAAGCCGGUUGUGAAAGCCCCGGGCUCAACCUGGGAACGGCAUCCGGAACUGUCAAGCUAGAGUGCAGGAGAGGAAGGUAGAAUUCCCAGUGUAGCGGUGAAAUGCGUAGAGAUCGGGAGGAAUACCAGUGGCGAAGGCGGCCUUCUGGACUGACACUGACACUGAGGUGCGAAAGCGUGGGUAGCAAACAGGAUUAGAUACCCCUGUAGUC
rnacentral:rRNA from 1 species